ACAGUGGCGGGAGCGUCCCCGUGAGAGGCCCGACCCAGGUGUGGGCCACGCUGGGAGCCCAAGGACCAAGCGGCGCUCCUGGGAUGCAGAGGAGGAUUUGUGACAGCUUAGGGAACAGACAAAAUGGUUUCGAAAAGGCUAAUGGCAGUCCCGAACUGACAGCCACAAGUGGCACCUGAACAGGGACUUGAACAAAGAAAGUCUGCUGGAGCAGAAAAAGUGAAACUGACCAGAUGAACGAGAAACCCUGGGAUGAGUCUGCCUACAGAGGAUAUAAGGAGAUGGAUAAACCAUGUGAGUGCCCUCAAGUUGUGUGCGACCAUGGAAUGGGAGAAUAGAGGGAUACAUGGAUCCCAGCUACAGGCCCAACUCCUCCAAUAUGAGCCAUGAGCCAGUUGAAUCUGAAUGUGAAGAUGGAAUGAAGACCAACCAGAGUCACACUGACAUCAACCCUCAUAACAUGGGGUCAGAUCAAGGAAACCACACCAGAAGCUGAGAAACUGGUGUAGUGCCAGGUCUGUAAAAUCAACUGGAACACCAACCAGCAAUUGAGAGCUGCAUAGCCUGCAAUUACCUUUAUUCAAUUAAAUCAAAAGCAGAAAGGGGGAGAUGCUGGAGGCUGAAAGAAUGAGGGUCGUGACCAACUCAGUAUACCACUGGAGGCUAUGUGAGCAAACAGCAAACUGUUCUCAUGAAUACAGGAUAUUGGCAAGCUGACAGCUGCAUCUGCCACCAGAAGGAAUGCUGAGGACAGUCAUGCACCAGGCACAGUGUUCCUUUGUAGUUAUCUAUAGGAACAUCUGGACCCCGUUAUAUAAAGAAAGCAAUUAUUUGAACCUGUGAUAAAUCAAGCAGCUGACUAAAACUGUUACCUCUUCCUCCCUGUUGGUUCUACCUAAUAAAUAUGAAGGGCUGUAUAAGCUCAGGGCCCUUGUUCCCUAGAAGCAAGGAGCCCCCUGACCCCUUCUUUACA